GAUGAGGUGGUAUAUACUAUAAUACAGAAGGUUGUGGUCUUUCAGAAGCGCUAUGUAAAGCUCCCUUAUCC
rnacentral:tRNA from 1 species